CCCAGCCACCUCCCUGCCCUCCACCAUCACUGGGAUGCCAGGAAGACCGGGCCGUUCUGCAUCUGCUUAGAAUUCAGACCCACCCUGGAGCGCCCUGCCUGUUCUACCACUCACCGAGAAGGAGGCUGAUCUGAAGCAGGAGGACCUGGGUAGGGAGCCAGCUGCUGCCUGAGGAGUCCAUGCCGCCUGGUGACUGAGCAGCUUGAGAAGAAUAUGUAGAACUGUGGCCAAACCCUAGUUUACUUAAGAAAAAAAGAAGUUCUAUAUAAGGUCAUGUUCUGAGACUGGAAUUGGAUCUGGAAAGCCCAAGAGGAUGAAAACUAAGAUCAUUUGGACUAUUUACAUCAUUCUUCUAUUUUAAAGCAAUGUUACAACAAACAUCUGUGUCAGUUAGAAAUACACUUGGUUGCUAGUGAGAGAGACACAGGGUAACCGAAACAAACUAUAAGCUUUUUUUCUCUUGUAUUCAAAAAACUCUGUAAAGAAGUACUGCAGGGCAGGAAUGAUGACUCUACAAAGAAUCAGGGUCUUAGGCACCAUAUAUUUUUCUGUUCCUUAGUAUGUGGUCUCUAUUCUCAAGGUCACAGAAUAGCUGCUGGAACUCUUGCCAUCAUGUCCAAGUUCCAGACACCAGGAAGAAAAAAGAUGUGGAAGGGAAAGAGUUUUUCCUCAAGUCCCACCAAAUGACUUCUGCUUCCAUUUUACUGGCCCUCCCUUUCUUACAAGGGAGUCUGGGGAGAGGAAAUCGUUAGUUAGGCACAUCACUACAACCAAAUACACAGUUAGGAAGGGAAGGGAUUGAUAGUGGGUAGGCAGCUAGCAGUUUCAGCCACAACACACUUAAACAUGUUUCUUUUCUCAUGCAUAUAGUGUUGCUUCUGUUUAGAUAUAUCC